rnacentral:snRNA from 1 species
AUCGCUUCUCGGCCUUUUGGCUAAGAUCAAGUGAAUCUGUUCUUAUCAGUUUAAUAUCUGAUACGUCCCCUAUCUGGGGACCAUAUAUUAAAUGGAUUUUUGGAACAGGGAGAUGGAAGAAGAGCUUGCUCUGUCCACUCCACGCAUCGACCUGGUAUUGCAGUACCUCCAGGACCGGUGCACCUCUC